rnacentral:rRNA from 1 species
GAUGAACGCUAGCGGGAGGCCUAACACAUGCAAGCCGAGCGGUAUUGUUUCUUCGGAACUGAGAGAGCGGCGUACGGGUGCGGAACACGUGUGCAACCUGCCUUUAUCUGGGGGAUAGCCUUUCGAAAGGAAGAUUAAUACUCCAUAACAUAUUGAACGGCAUCGUUCGAUAUUGAAAGCUCCGGCGGAUAGAGAUGGGCACGCGCAAGAUUAGCUAGUUGGUGAGGUAACGGCUCACCAAGGCGAUGAUCUUUAGGGGGCCUGAGAGGGUGAUCCCCCACACUGGUACUGAGACACGGACCAGACUCCUACGGGAGGCAGCAGUGAGGAAUAUUGGUCAAUGGGUGCAAGCCUGAACCAGCCAUCCCGCGUGAAGGACGACUGCCCUAUGGGUUGUAAACUUCUUUUGUAUAGGGAUAAACCUGCCCUCGUGAGGGUAGCUGAAGGUACUAUACGAAUAAGCACCGGCUAACUCCGUG